rnacentral:tRNA from 1 species
GACCCCAUCGUCUAGCCUGGCCUAAGACAACGGCCUUUCGAGCCGUCGACGGGGGUUCGAAUCCCCCUGGGGUCGCCA